rnacentral:siRNA from 1 species
GAGCGCUGGACGUCUGGACUCAUA